rnacentral:ncRNA from 1 species
CGGCUACACUGCGGGCGCGGAACCGAGGCUGGGGUUGUUGCAUCAAAGAUACCCGUAUCUAGGAUGUGUUGACUCCAGCCAAGGGAAAGCUGAGAAGUACCGUAAGAACUCGAUCAAGAUAAUACUUGCGUGAGGAACGUGCUGCCGCUACUCC